GAUGAACGCUGGCGGCGUGCCUAAUACAUGCAAGUCGAGCGAACGGACGAGAAGCUUGCUUCUCUGAUGUUAGCGGCGGACGGGUGAGUAACACGUGGAUAACCUACCUAUAAGACUGGGAUAACUUCGGGAAACCGUAGCUAAUACCGGAUAAUAUUUUGAACCGCAUGGUUCAAAAGUGAAAGACGGUCUUGCUGUCACUUAUAGAUGGUUCCGCGCUGCAUUAGCUAGUUGAUAAGGUAACGGCUUACCAAGGCAACGAUGCAUAGCCGACCUGAGAGGGUGAUCGGCCACACUGGAACUGAGACACGGUCCAGACUCCUACGGGAGGCAGCAGUAGGGAAUCUUCCGCAAUGGGCGAAAGCCUGACGGAGCAACGCCGCGUGAGUGAUGAAGGUCUUCGGAUCGUAAAACUCUGUUAUUAGGGAAGAACAUAUGUGUAAGUAACUGUGCACAUCUUGACGGUACCUAAUCAGAAAGCCACGGCUAACUACGUG
rnacentral:rRNA from 1 species